rnacentral:rRNA from 1 species
UACAGAGGGUGCGAGCGUUAAUCGGAAUUACGGGGCGUAAAGCGCACGUAGUCGGCUUUGCAAGUCGGUUGUGAAAUCCCCGGGCUCAACCUGGGAACUGCAUCCGAGACUGCAUGGCUAGAGUAUGGGAGAGGAAAGCGGAAUUUCCGGUGUAGCGGUGAAAUGCGUAGAUAUCGGAAGGAACAUCAGUGGCGAAAGCGACUUCCUGGACCAAUACUGACGCUCAUGUGCGAAAGCGUGGGGAGCAAACAGG